rnacentral:rRNA from 1 species
GCUAACCUGCCCUUGGGAUAGGAAUAACCCCGGGAAACUGGGGCUAAUUCCCAAUAGGUGAAGAACUCUGGGAUGGGUCUUCGCCGGAAAGGAAGCUUGCUUCAUGCUGCAGGCUUCGCCCAAGGAUGGGGCCGCAACCGAUCAGGUUGUUGGUGAGGUAACGGCUCACCAAGCCUUUUACCGGUACGGGCCGUGAGAGCGGGAGCCCGGAGAUGGGCACUGAGACAAGGGCCCAGGCCCUACGGGGCGCAGCAGUCGCGCAAACUUUGCAAUACACGAAAGUGUGACAGGGCUAUCCCGAGUGCCGCCCGCUGAGGGUGGCUUUUGCUCAGUCUAGCAAGCUGGGAGAAUAAGGAGAGGGCAAGUCUGGUGUCAGCCGCCGCGGUAAUACCAGCUCUCCGAGUGGUGUGGAUGUUUAUUGGGCCUAAAGCAUCCGUAGCUGGCUGUUCAAGUCCCCUGUUAAAUCCAGCGAUUUAAUCGUUGGUUUGCGGGGGAUACUGUUUGGCUAGGGGACGGGAGAGGCAGACGUAUUUUCGGGGUAGGGUGAAAUCCUAUAAUCCCGGGAAGACCACCAGUGGCGAAGCUGUCUGCUAGAACGCGCUCGACGUGAGGAUGAAAGCUGGGGGAGCGAACGGAUUAGAUACCCGAUAGUUCCAGCUGUAACUAUGCACGCGAGUGUUUAGGCGGCUACGCCGCUCUAUGCCCCAGAACCUGUACCGGCCGUGGGGAGUACGUUCAAAGAUGAAAUUAAGGAUGGCGGGGAGCACCCCAGGGUGGAACCUUCGGGUAAUGGAGUCACGCCGAAAUUCACGGGGGCGACACCAUGGGGGGCCAAAUAAAGGUCUCCCUAAAAAUUUUCCCAAGGAGAUGGGGGAGGGGCCUGCCCUUCCCCCUUUCGUCCGGGGGGUGUUUCUUUUAAAUCAGGCAACGAUCGGAACCCCUUCCUUUGNUUUAAGGGNUGGCCCGGGGCCCACUGAGGAGGCCCCCCGUUUAAAAAGCGGAGGAGGAAGGAGGGGGCCCCCCGCCAGGCCCAUUAGCCCCGAAUCUCCCCCCCCGGCCCCCCGGGAGUGCAAGGCAGGUACAGUGGGUUCCGGACCUCGUAAGGGGGAGGUAAUCUCGAAAGCCUGCCGUAGUUGGGAUCGUGGGUUGAAACUCACCCUCGUGAACAUGGAAUCCCUAGUAAU